CCUACGGGAGGCAGCAGUGGGGAAUAUUGGACAAUGGGCGCAAGCCUGAUCCAGCCAUACCGCGUGUGUGAAGAAGGCCCUAGGGUUGUAAAGCACUUUAAGUUGGGAAGAAAAGUUAUUGGCUAAUACCCAAUGACCGUGACAUUACCUUCAGAAUAAGGACCGGCUAAUUCCGUGCCAGCAGCCGCGGUAAUACGGAAGGUCCAAGCGUUAAUCGGAAUUACUGGGCGUAAAGCGCGCGUAGGUGGUUUAUUAAGUUGGAUGUGAAAUCCCCGGGCUCAACCUGGGAACUGCAUCCAAAACUGAUUCACUAGAGUACGAUAGAGGGAGGUAGAAUUCACAGUGUAGCGGUGGAAUGCGUAGAUAUUGUGAAGAAUACCAAUGGCGAAGGCAGCCUCCUGGAUCUGUACUGACACUGAGGUGCGAAAGCGUGGGUAGCGAACAGGAUUAGAUACCCUGGUAGUCCACGCCGUAAACGAUGUCAACUAGCCGUUGGGACACUUGAUGUCUUAGUGGCGCAGCUAACGCGAUAAGUUGACCGCCUGGGGAGUACGGUCGCAAGAUUAAAACUCAAAGGAAUUGACGGA
rnacentral:rRNA from 1 species